UAUCUUGUGGCUCUCUGGACAACUGGUCAUCCAACAGCAAUGGCAUUACUUUUGAGAAUAAUCCACCAGAGACUAAAGAAGAUUAUUAAUCAAUUCGUGACGAUGUAAAGCUUGCAGAAGCUCUGGAGAAGCGAGAGGAACGUCGAGGAAUAAACUUGAAGGAUAUCUCUCGCAUUGGAGGACAAAAAUAGGGUUCAAAUUCAGGAAAGAUGUGAGAAUUUAAAUCCA